CCGCUGAAUUUAAGCAUAUAAUUCAGCGGAGGAAAAGAAAGUAAAAACGAUUCCCUUAGUAACGGCGAGUGAAAAGGGAGGAGCCCAGCGUAAAGGCCCUACAUCGAAAGGUGUAGGGCGGUGCUACGUUGAUACCCGGGUGUUUGCCGAUGAGUAGAGUCACCGCAAGUUCCGUUGAUUCGGACUUCUUAACCGAAGUGGGUGCUAGUCCCAUAGCGGUGAUUCGCUUGCUUGUCGCUAGCCCGGGUAUGUGAGAGUCAGGUUACUUGAAAGUGUAACCUAAAGUAGGAGGUAAACUUCUCCUAAGGCUAAAUAUUAUGGCAAAACCGAUAGCAAACAAGUACCGUGAGGGAAAGUUGCAAAGAACUUUGAAGAGAGAGUUCAAAAGGACGUGAAACCGCUUGUAGGCAAACGGGUGGACCCACGAAGAUUGCUGGGGCAAGGAUUCAAUCAUCUCGGAGGAGAGGGUUUCGGUGUCGUUAUCUGGCCUUUAACUAGGGCAGGAUGCCGGAAUCGUUACUUUUCACUGAGUGGUGCAUUUCCAUUGCCCCGUGCUAUUACCCCGACCAUUCCAAUGGUCGCCACUCCUGUAAGGUUGUAAGGGGAAAGGUAGCAGGGAUGGCCAGGGCCUCACGGCUCCGGUUGUCUUUGUGUUAUAAUCCUAGUACUCUUGAGUGGCGGCGUAUGGAUUGGGCGCAGAACUCCUCACCUAGUGGGGUAGUAUAGAUGUGACUUGACCGGGUGGUGGUAUCCAGAUGCGGUGGUCAUCCUGUGUUUGUGCUGGUUCCCAGUGUAAAUGCGGGGUGGUCGUUGCCCAUCUAAGUGUGCUGCUCUCGGACUUGUUGCUCUUGUCUCUGGGGUGAGUAGGUCGGUCAUCCACCCGACCCGUCUUGAAACACGGACCAAGGAGUCUAGCAUAUGUGCAAGUCUUACAGUCUUGAACAGGCUCGUGAGGCGAAAUGAAAGUAACAGGUAUGAUCCUGGUGUUCCCUUCCUCACGGCGGGGGCCYGGGCGCAAUAUCGACCCACUCGCUCUGCCUUACGACAGUUGAGUGGCGUUUGAGCACAUACGCUGGUACCCGAAAGAUGGUGAACUAUGCCUGGGCAGGACGAAGCCAGAGGAAACUCUGGUGGAGGUCUGUAGCGAUUCUGACGUGCAAAUCGAUCGUCAGACCUGGGUAUAGGGGCGAAAGACUAAUCGAACCAUCUAGUAGCUGGUUCCUUCCGAAGUUUCCCUCAGGAUAGCAGGCACUCGAGGUGGACUCUGUAGCAUCCGGUAAAGCUAAUGACUAGAGGUCUUGGGGUCGAAACGUCCUCAACCUAUUCUCAAACUUUAAAUGGGUGCGAAGAUCGACUUUCUUAACUGAAGCCGGUCGUAGAGGAUAACAACUUCUAAGAGAGUGCCUAGUGGGCCAUUUUUGGUAAGCAGAACUGGCGCUGUGGGAUGAACCAAACGUUGGGUUAAGGCGCCCGAUGCAGACGCUCAUGAGAUCCCAUGAAAGGUGUUGGUUGCUAUAGACAGCAGGACGGUGGCCAUGGAAGUCGGAAUCCGCUAAGGAGUGUGUAACAACUCACCUGCCGAAGCAACUAGCCCUGAAAAUGGAUGGCGCUGAAGCGUUGAGCCCAUACCCAACCCCCCGGGCAAUCCGCCCAAAUAAGCCCGGGGGAGUAGGAAGGACGCACCGGUGGCGUAGAAGGUGUCGGACGUAGGUCUGCCUGGAGCCGCCGGUGGUGCAGAUCUUGGUGGUAGUAGCAAAUACUCAAGUGAGACCCUUGAGGGCCAAUGUGGAGAAGGGUUCCAUGUGAACAGCAGUUGAACAUGGGUCAGUCGGUCCUAAGGCAUGCGGGGAAACCCGUUCCAAAGUCCCUGAUUUGCGAACUAUGAUCAGUUGAAAGGACAGCGGUACGUGCCGAAAGGGAAUCGGGUUAAUAUUCCCGAACCUAGUGAUGGAGAUAGGUCCUUCGGGAUCCAGUGCGGUAACGCAAGCGAGCUCAGAGACGUCGGUGGGAGCCCUGGGGAGAGUUGUCUUUUCUUUGUAAGGUUCUGAUUCCCUGGAAGCGGUUUACCCGGAGAUAGGGAGGAAAGAACCGUAAAGCACUGCGGCUCUUGCAGUGUCCAGAGUGCUCUCGUCGGCCCGUGAAAAUCUGAGUGAGGUGGUGUUAUUUUCAUCCUAGCCCGUACCCAUAUCCGCAGCAGGUCUCCAAGGUGAACAGCCUCUGGUCGCUAGAAUAAUGUAGGUAAG
rnacentral:rRNA from 1 species